AUUGAACGCUGGCGGCAUGCCUUACACAUGCAAGUCGAACGGUAACAGGUUAAGCUGACGAGUGGCGAACGGGUGAGUAAUGUAUCGGAACGUGCCCAGUCGUGGGGGAUAACUGCUCGAAAGAGCAGCUAAUACCGCAUACGACCUGAGGGUGAAAGCGGGGGAUCGCAAGACCUCGCGCGAUUGGAGCGGCCGAUAUCAGAUUAGGUAGUUGGUGAGGUAAAGGCUCACCAAGCCGACGAUCUGUAGCUGGUCUGAGAGGACGACCAGCCACACUGGGACUGAGACACGGCCCAGACUCCUACGGGAGGCAGCAGUGGGGAAUUUUGGACAAUGGGCGCAAGCCUGAUCCAGCCAUGCCGCGUGCGGGAAGAAGGCCUUCGGGUUGUAAACCGCUUUUGGCAGGGAAGAAAAGGUUCUGGCUAAUACCUGGGACUCAUGACGGUACCUGAAGAAUAAGCACCGGCUAACUACGUG
rnacentral:rRNA from 1 species